GAAAUGCGAUAAGUAAUGUGAAUUGCAGAAUUCAGGGAAUCAUCGAAUCUUUGAACGCACCUUGCUCUCCUUGGUAUUCCUUGGAGCAUGCCUGUUUGAGUAUCAUGAAAUCUUCAAAGUAAAUCUUUUGUUAACUCAAUUGGUUUCUACUUUGGUAUUGGAGGUCUUUGCAGCUUCACACCUGCUCCUCUUUGUUCAUUAGCUGGAUCUCAGUGUUAUGCUUGGUUCCACUCGGCGUGAUAAGUUAUCUAUCGCUGAGGACACUGUAAAAGGUGGCCAAGGUAAAUGCAGAUGAACCGCUUCUAAUAGUCCAUUGACUUGGACAAUACUUUUAUGAUCUGAUCUCAAAUCAGGUAGGACUACCCGCUGAACUUAAGC
rnacentral:misc_RNA from 1 species